GUCCACGCCGUAAACGAUGGAUACUAGCUGUUCGGAGCAAUCUGAGUGGCUAAGCGAAAGUGAUAAGUAUCCCACCUGGGGAGUACGUUCGCAAGAAUGAAACUCAAAGGAAUUGACGGGGGCCCGCACAAGCGGUGGAGCAUGUGGUUUAAUUCGAUGAUACGCGAGGAACCUUACCAAGGCUUAAAUGUAGAUUGACCGUUUUGGAAACAGAACUUUCGCAAGACAAUUUACAAGGUGCUGCAUGGUUGUCGU
rnacentral:rRNA from 1 species